ACAGCACACUGGAGGUAAGUCAUGCACUAAAUAGGGAGCAAGGGAGCAUCCUAUAGCUCUCCUAUAACUGUUCUGAGACCAGUGCAGACAGACAGCACACUGGAGGUUAAGUCAUGCACUAAAUAGGGAGCAAGGGAGCAUCCUAUAGCUCUCCUAUAACUGUUCUGAGACCAGUGCAGACAGACAGCACACUGGAGGUUAAGUCAUGCACUAAAUAGGGAGCAAGGGAGCAUCCUAUAGCUCUCCUAUAACUGUUCUGAGACCAGUGCAGACAGACAGCACACUGGAGGUUAAGUCGUGCACUAAAUAGGGAGCAAGGGAGCAUCCUAUAUCUCUCCUAUAACUGUUCUGAGACCAGUGCAUACAGACAGCACACUGGAGGUUAAGUCAUGCACUAAAUAGGGAGCAAGGGAGCAUCCUAUAGCUCUCCUAUAACUGUUCUGAGAUCAGUGCAGACAGACAGCACACUGGAGGUUAAGUCAUGCACUAAAUAGGGAGCAAGGGAGCAUCCUAUAGCUCUCCUAUAACUGUUCUGAGACCAGUGCAGACAGACAGCACACUGGAGGUUAAGUCAUGCACUAAAUAGGGAGCAAGGGAGCAUCCUAUAGCUCUCCUAUAACUGUUCUGAGAUCAGUGCAGACAGACAGCACACUGGAGGUUAAGUCAUGCACUAAAUAGGGAGCAAGGGAGCAUCCUAUAGCUCUCCUAUAACUGUUCUGAGACCAGUGCAGACAGACAGCACACUGGAGGUUAAGUCAUGCACUAAAUAGGGAGCAAGGGAGCAUCCUAUAGCUCUCCUAUAACUGUUCUGAGAUCAGUGCAGACAGACAGCACACUGGAGGUUAAGUCAUGCACUAAAUAGGGAGCAAGGGAGCAUCCUAUAGCUCUCCUAUAACUGUUCUGAGACCAGUGCAGACAGACAGCACACUGGAGGUUAAGUCGUGCACUAAAUAGGGAGCAAGGGAGCAUCCUAUAUCUCUCCUAUAACUGUUCUGAGACCAGUGCAUACAGAC